CCAGGCUGGAGUGAGUGCCCUGAUCAUGGCCACUGCAGCCCUGACCACCUGGCCUCAAGUGAUCUUCCCACCUUAUCCUCUCGAGUAUCUGGGACUAUAGGCCUGCACUACCACACCCAGCUAAUUUUUAAAAUGUUUGUAGAGAUGGGGCUUGCUGUGUUGCUCAGGCUGCUCUUGAACUCCUGGUCUCAAGUGAUCCUCCCACCUUGGCCUCCCAAAGUGCUAGGAUUACAGGUGUGAACCACCCAACUUAGGCUGAUUUCUUUAAAAAAGAAGAAGAAACUGCAGUAGAAGAAAGUUGAGUAUCUAGCCCAUCACUCAGCUAAAACUGGCCACCAGGGUGGAUCCCAGAUAACCUCACUCCAGAGUUGCCCAUGCUAUUAACCAUGACACCAUGCUGGCCUUCCCUGCGCAUGCCUUUUUCCUGCCUUAAUCUUGCAAUGACUCAUAAGGCAUCGUAUAAAGCCAGCCAUGCUGGUGAUGCUGCUGGGGUGCUUGCAGUUAUAAUGAAGCCAUUCGCUGAAAGGGAGUCAGAAUGGGAAGGUGCUCCCCAACACAUCCCACACUGAGGAGCUCACCUUCAUCUCUAGGAUUCCUAUAGAACCUUCUGGGGACUCAGAACAGUCUGAAACUGGAAUUGAGAGAGGGCACUGUGUCAGUCCAUUUAUUAAAUAUUUGGUAAGUCAUUCUUACAUGUCUAGAUGGAAAAAAAUAGCUGACUCAUAAUAGUUUUACACUUCACCCAAAGGGUCAGAUUACACAUUUCCCUUGGAGACCAAGAUAUAGGGAGACAGCGUCCAUCUUUUCCCAUGGGAUAAGCUGGGAGAUGCCAGGCCUUUUCAAAAGCCCCAGAGUCCCAUCUGUUGGGUGGAACUCUGAAGGCAGAGGAGCACUCUUUGUGGAGAGCACUAUCUUUUCCUUCUAGUCAGAAGGAAACCCAAGCUUCCGAGCUCCUCAGCUCCUUGCACCAUCUCCUAAAGUGGGCAGGGGACACCACAAUCCCUGGAGUGGGGAUGGGGGCACCAGUGCAGUAGGCAUUAUCCUGAGAGGCUCCUCCAUGGUCAGGGCCUCUAAUCAUGGCCCGUGGGCAGGGGCGUGGGUGCUGGGGGUGCAGGCUGCAGCUGUGGGUGUCUGUAGGGAGCAAAGCCACAGGGGAAGCCUUGUUAUCCUAAACCUGGAGUCAUCCCAGG
rnacentral:lncRNA from 13 species